GAUGAACGCUAGCUACAGGCUUAACACAUGCAAGUCGAGGGGCAGCGGAUUGAGCUUGCUUCAAUUGCCCGGCGACCGGCGCACGGGUGAGUAACGCGUAUCCAACCUUCCGUACACUCAGGGAUAGCCUUUCGAAAGAAAGAUUAAUACCUGAUGGUAUCUUAAGCACACAUGUAAUUAAGAUUAAAGAUUUAUCGGUGUACGAUGGGGAUGCGUUCCAUUAGGUAGUAGGCGGGGGUAACGGCCCACCUAGCCAACGAUGGAUAGGGGUUCUGAGAGGAAGGUCCCCCACAUUGGAACUGAGACACGGUCCAAACUCCUACGGGAGGCAGCAGUGAGGAAUAUUGGUCAAUGGACGAGAGUCUGAACCAGCCAAGUAGCGUGAAGGAUGAAGGUCCUACGGAUUGUAAACUUCUUUUAUAAGGGAAUAAACCCUCCCACGUGUGGGAGCUUGUAUGCACCUUAUGAAUAAGCAUCGGCUAACUCCGUG
rnacentral:rRNA from 1 species